rnacentral:rRNA from 1 species
AUUGAACGCUGGCGGCAUGCCUUACACAUGCAAGUCGAACGGCAGCACGGGUGCUUGCACCUGGUGGCGAGUGGCGAACGGGUGAGUAAUAUAUCGGAACGUACCUUAUUGUGGGGGAUAACGCAGCGAAAGCUGUGCUAAUACCGCAUAAUCCCUAAGGGGGAAAGCGGGGGACCGUAAGGCCUCGCGCAAUUAGAGCGGCCGAUACCUGAUUAGCUAGUUGGGGAGGUAAAGGCUCACCAAGGCAACGAUCAGUAGCUGGUCUGAGAGGACGAUCGGCCACACUGGGACUGGGACACGGCCCAGACUCCUACGGGAGGCAGCAGUGGGGAAUUUUGGACAAUGGGGGCAACCCUGAUCCAGCAAUGUCGCGUGAGUGAAGAAGGCCUUCGGGUUGUAAAGCUCUUUUGUCAGGGAAGAAACAGCAGCUCUAACACAGUUUGCGAAUGACGGUACCUGAAGAAUAAGCACCGGCUAACUACGUGCCAGCCGCCGCCGUAA